GAAGGUUUUCGUUCAUUUUCCUCAAAAUUUCUUCACUUCUUCCACUUUUUUGUUCGCCAAGUCCAUUGCGCUAAGGCUUUAUUAUUUCUUCGAAAAUUAAUUGAUUUAUGUCCGGAUCGGAAAUAAUAAUAUUUUCCAGUUUUCACAACACUGAACUGACCGGGAUAAGGAGUUCCAGAGAAAACCCAGAGAAUACAGACAAAUAGAGAAACUCCUACAAGAAUAAAAAAUGAAAUUCUGGCCUUCCUGGGAUAAACGCGUGUUUAGAAUAAUUUCCUGGACCAAUAUCUCCAUAAGUAUAGCUUAACUGCGAGUAUUUAUAAUAAAAACGAUUCAAUAAUAAUAA